rnacentral:rRNA from 1 species
GGCUAACGCUGGCGGCGUGUCUUAGCCAUGCAAGUCGAGCGGACUUAUGGGAUAACUUAUAAGUCAGCGGCGGACGGCGGAGUAACACGUAGCUAACCUACCCUCUGGACGGGGAUAACCUACCGAAAGGUGGGCUAAUACCCGAUGUAGUCAUCCUGUAUAGGGGUGAUGAAAGGUGGGCUUCUGUUUACAAGCUCAUGCUGGAGGAGGGGGCUGCGGCCUAUCAGGUAGUUGGUAGGGUAAUAGCCUACCAAGCCGAUGACGGGUAGCCGGCCUGAGAGGGUGACCGGCCCGAGGGGCACUGAGAUACGGGUCCCACUCCUACGGGAGGCAGCAGGCUAGAAAUUUGGGCAAUGGGGGAAACCCUGACCCAGUGACGCCGCGUGCAGGAAGGAGCCCUUCGGGGUGUAAACUGCUGUCGUGUAGGGAGAAGGGUACUAAGGUGAACAAUCUUAGUACUUGACGGUACUACAGGAGGAAGCCCAGGCUAACCUCGUG